GACGAACGCUGGCGGCGCGCUUAACACAUGCAAGUCGAACGGAAAGGCCCUGCUUUUGUGGCGUGCUCGAGUGGCGAACGGGUGAGUAACACGUGAGUAACCUGCCCUUGACUUUGGGAUAACUUCAGGAAACUGGGGCUAAUACCGGAUAGGAGCUCCUGCUGCAUGGUGGGGGUUGGAAAGUUUCGGCGGUUGGGGAUGGACUCGCGGCUUAUCAGCUUGUUGGUGGGGUAGUGGCUUACCAAGGCUUUGACGGGUAGCCGGCCUGAGAGGGUGACCGGCCACAUUGGGACUGAGAUACGGCCCAGACUCCUACGGGAGGCAGCAGGGGGGAAUAUUGCACAAUGGGCGGAAGCCUGAUGCAGCAACGCCGCGUGCGGGAUGACGGCCUUCGGGUUGUAAACCGCUUUCGCCUGUGACGAAGCGUGAGUGACGGUAAUGGGUAAAGAAGCACCGGCUAACUACGUG
rnacentral:rRNA from 1 species